UUGAGUAAAUGGAUUAAUCUAACCGAUUAACAAACCACACAAACUUUGUAUUCUCUACCAUCAAAACACCCUUUCUCUCCCAAAUCCAAAAAUAUUGCAGGUAGAAUUUUAAUCUUCUCAAAUCUUUCAUUCUUUUCUCAAACGCUGAAACCCUAAUCUUCUCUAAAAAAAUUGUAAUUUGGAUACAUCUUGCGGCCAAACCAUAACCCACCUCUCAACAAUGGCGAAUGACGAACUCCAAUCUCUAGAUUUAGGUUACGACCCCAACUUCGUCCCCGAUUCCGUCAAAAUCUUCGUCGUCCAUCUCUAUCGGAGCGUCUCAUCAAGGACACUCUGUGGCCCUCCGUCGAUGCUGUCGCUCAGUACAACGACAACGACCACGUGUUCUGUCUCUGUUACCGUGAGAUGUGGUUUCGCCACUUGUAUUCGCUUCUAACUCCUACUGUUCGUUGGAGAAUCAAUUCGUGGGAUAAUUAGUGUAUUUUGUUCCAGGUUGUUCUUCAUGGGGUUGUGAAUAUGCAGUUGCCGAAUCAGUGGCUUUGGGAUAUAGUUGAUGAGUUUGUUUAUCAGUUUCAGAGUUUUUGUCUGUAUUAGGCUAAGAUGAAGAAUAAGAAUGAACAUGAAAUUGCUCUCUUGAGACAGUUUGAUCAGCUGAAAAGCUAGAACAAGCAGAUAAUCAAUUGGCACACUCACGUUUCAGGCCACUAGUAGCACCUUCACCUAGAAAGAAAGAAGUGAGUGAUUGUUUAUCCUUAAAUCUACUGCAAAGCACUUAGUCUAAUUAUUGGAAUUUUGUAUUCAGAGUUUUAGCUUGAUUAUUUAAGUGUUUUACUUGUUCUUUUGAAGUCUAGGAUGGUAAUAAUUUUUUAUGAUCAAACCCCUUCUGAUGUUUGUUAGUACAAUAUAAUAUUCAUUCAUGCUGUAUCUAGGCAUAUAUUUAAGCACGUAUGUAGUUAUUGAAGUAUUAAGUUUGUUUCUUCUUAUUUUUUUGAUGGAGUUUUGAGCUUGUUUCUAAUAGUCAGCCAUGAGUGUAUAUGAUCAGUACACUACAUUAUACUUUAGUUGGUAAGUACAUUAUUUAAGGCAUUACAUUAUACUGAGAUCCAAAAAAUCUUACCUUCAAUCAUAUGUUGAGAAUUUCCAGUGCUUUCAACAAGUAUUUCUGUUACAAUGUCUUCAAUAGUAGACCAAAGAAUCAUCACAUCAACAUCUACUGUCAGAUUCAUUUGGCUCAAAAACUAUAGAUUAUGGGCCCGUUUGUUUUGGCUUUUUUUAAAAAUGAUUUUUAUAGUGUUAUUAAAUUUUGUGAAAAAAAAUUUUACAAAGAAACUUUUUAUAAAAGCUUCAAAUGAAAAUUCUGUUUGAAUAGUUAUUCUUAAAAUGUGAUUUUAGGUAUUUCAUCUAUUUAUGGAAAAAAAAUUUGGAUAUCAAAAUUUCAAAAAAUCACAUAAUUUUGAAGCUAUUUCAAAUAGAUUUUCAUAAAAAUCAUUUUUGAAAUACAACUUUUUGAAAAAAUUAUGAUUUUGACUAAGUUUUGGUCUUCAAUUAUGUACGUUUAUGUUAUAGGAUGUCAAAUUAAGUGUUUCAUUUUAGUAAAAACGACUAUAGAAAAAUUUGUAAUAUUUUGAAAAACGAUUUUAGAAAAUCUAUUUUCAAAAAUACAAGGAAAAAUCCAUUUUUUUAAAGCUGAAACAAACUGGCCCUAUUCUUUACCUCAAAAAUCUCUACUGUUAACCUUAUUGAAAUUCAGAAUAUAAAUCUCUUUGGAUCAGUUUAUUUAAGCUUCUCUAUUAAAAUAAGCACUUAUGAUACUGUUUGGAAGAAAAUUUAUGAAAACAACUAUGAUGACAUGCUCAGCCGUCACUUGACAGAUUAUGGGGAUGCUUUUUGGUAUCAAUCGGAUUGAUUCUGUUGGUUGCUUACUUCUUUCUUGCUCUCUUUUCAAAGCUUCUUCCUCCUUCUCACAUUCCAAUCAUCUCUUCCUUCCAAAAUGACUGGUUCAGGAUGUUAGUUCUUUUUCAUAUGGACUUGCAUUAGAUGAAGGUCCAAUUUCUGUAGGAUCAAGUGGUGUAAUUUUCCCAAAAGGCCAAUUGAUUCCAAGUACUGCAGUUUUACGACUCCAGCGAACUAGUUUUUUCCAGUUGGAAGCUUUCCAUCCGAAACAAUAUGAACUACCACCUGGAACAUUUCCCAAAAUUAGUUCCUUCAUGGUAUGCUCACUUUAGAACAUUUGGCUAAUAUGAAGAAGUUAAAAAAAUGUCCAUGCUCUCUAUUCUUGGUUUUCUAUGUGUGAUAUUUUAUCAUGUAAAUCUACGUGAGCUUUUUUACCUUUAUUUUCAUAUAUAUAAUGUUAUCUUGAUUAUUCUUGGUGCAAUUCUAUUAUAAUGGAGCAGUGGCGGAGCCAGAAAAAUUAUGAAGCCCGGGCAAAUUUUCACCGGCUCCGCCAGUGGCUUUAUAAUUUAUUAAUUUUCUACCAGGACAAUAUUUGACAUAAUAAUUUUUUAUACGAAUAGUAACAGAUAUGCAAACUAACCAGAAUAAUAGAGUGCUCUUGUUGCUCUUGCUUGUGGAAAUCCCAUAACCUGAAGGUUUUCAAGCAAUUUUUCAUUCACUUUUGGAAAAAUAACCACUUUUUGUACAAGAAUGAAAUGAUAGAAACUGCAACAAAUAUGCAAAAAAAAUACAGAAAAUGACAUUAUAUGACACCAAUGUUAUUAGUAUUACAUGUUAUAUUACAAGUACUUGAUAAUGUGAAGCACAAAUAAUAUUGCUUGUAAUAAGUGUCCAAACCAAGUGCUGAAGGAUCCCUCGCAGCUAGAAUUUUUUUAUUAAGAUAGCAACCUAAAACAUAAAACUUAAAUGUAUUUCUGAGAAUUUUUUUUGUUAAAGCAUCCUACAUAUUCUUGAAUUCAUUUGAAAGGAAAAAAGUAUGUGAUAACACCUUUGUAUCAUCGAAACAACCACGGGACAACACUGCCUGCAUAUAAAAAUGACUCCAUAUGAAAUAUGCUUCAGUCAGAACCAUAAAAUCUAUCAACCAAUUCUGUAAUUGUGCUGGUAGAAUUGGAAGCUGACUUGUUUGGAGGAACAACGAUAACAAUGGGAUAAUAGAAAUGCAACUAUGUCUUCGUGUUUUCGCACAAACUGCUAGUUUCAAUAUAUUGUGA